rnacentral:rRNA from 1 species
CAGUAGCCACGGUAACACGGAGGGUGCAAGCGUUAAUCGGAAUUACUGGGCGUAAAGCGCACGCAGGCGGUCUGACAAGUCAGAUGUGAAAUCCCCGGGCUUAACCUGGGAACUGCAUUUGAAACUGUCAGGCUGGAGUCUUGUAGAGGGGGGUGGAAUUCCAGGUGUAGCGGUGAAAUGCGUAGAGAUCUGGAGGAAUACCGGUGGCGAAGGCGGCCCCCUGGACAAAGACUGACGCUCAGGUGCGAAAGCGUGGGGAGCAAACAGGAUUAGAUACCCCUGUAGUCCCUGUCUCUUAUAA